GAGCACGUAGGGGGUUUGUAAGUCAGAUGUGAAAGCCUUCUGUUCAACGGAAGAAUUGCAUCUGAAACUGCUAAUCUUGAGUAUAGGAGGGGAGAAUGGAACUUCUGGUGGAGCGGUGAAAUGCGUAGAUAUCAGAAGGAACGCCGGCGGCGAAAGCGAUUCUCUGGCCUAUUACUGACACUCAGUGUGCGAGAGCUAGGGGAGCAAACGGGAUUAGAUACCCCGAGCAGCUGU
rnacentral:rRNA from 1 species